GACGAACGCUGGCGGCGUGCUUAACACAUGCAAGUCGAACGGAAAGGCCCUGCUUUUGUGGGGUGCUCGGGUGGCGAACGGGUGAGUAACACGUGAGUAACCUGCCCUUGACUUUGGGAUAACUUCAGGAAACUGGGGCUAAUACCGGAUAGGAGCUCCUGCUGCAUGGUGGGGGUUGGAAAGUUUCGGCGGUUGGGGAUGGACUCGCGGCUUAUCAGCUUGUUGGUGGGGUAGUGGCUUACCAAGGCUUUGACGGGUAGCCGGCCUGAGAGGGUGACCGGCCACAUUGGGACUGAGAUACGCCCCAGACUCCUACGGGAGGCAGCAGUGGGGAAUAUUGCACAAUGGGCGGAAGCCUGAUGCAGCAACGCCGCGUGCGGGAUGACGGCCUUCGGGUUGUAAACCGCUUUCGCCUGUGACGAAGCGUGAGUGACGGUAAUGGGUAAAGAAGCACCGGCUAACUACGUG
rnacentral:rRNA from 1 species